AUUGAACGCUGGCGGCAGGCCUAACACAUGCAAGUCGAGCGAAGCGGCGGACGGGUGAGUAAUGCCUAAGGAUCUGGCUGGGCGUGGGGGAUAACGUCCGGAACCGGGGGCUAAUUCCGCAUACUAUCAGAUGAGGCUAGGUCGGAUUAGCUAGUGGGUGGGGUAAAGGCCUACCAAGGCGAAGAUCCGUAACGGGUCUGAGAGGAUGACCAGCCACAUUGGAACUGAGACACGGUCCAGACUCCUACGGGAGGCAGCAGUGGGGAAUAUUGCACAAUGGGCGCAAGCCUGAUAGAGCCAUGCCGCGUGUGUGAAGAAGGCCUUCGGGUUGUAAAGCACUUUCAGCGGGGAGGCGUUACCCGCAGAAGAAGCACCGGCUAACUCCGUGCCAGCAGCCGCGGUAAUUC
rnacentral:rRNA from 1 species